rnacentral:rRNA from 1 species
UGGGGGAUAUUGCACAAUGGGCGGAAGCCUGAUGCAGCGACGCCGCGUGAAGGAGGAAGUACCUCGGUAUGUAAACUUCUGUCAGCAGGGAAGAAAAUGACGGUACCUGACCAAGAAGCUCCGGCUAAAUACGUGCCAGCAGCCGCGGUAAUACGUAUGGAGCAAGCGUUAUCCGGAUUUACUGGGUGUAAAGGGAGCGCAGGCGGCGCGCCAAGCCAGAUGUGAAAGGCCGGGGCCCAACCCCGGGAGUGCAUUUGGAACUGGCGUGCUGGAGUGCAGGAGAGGCAGGCGGAAUUCCUAGUGUAGCGGUGAAAUGCGUAGAUAUUAGGAGGAACACCAGUGGCGAAGGCGGCCUGCUGGACUGUAACUGACGCUGAGGCUCGAAAGCGUGGGGAGCAAACAGG